rnacentral:tRNA from 1 species
AAUUAGAGAGCUUGUAUAUUAAGCAUUUGACUUUUAAUCAAAAGAAAUUAUUAAUUAAUUCUAAUUA